UACGGAGGGAGCUAGCGUUGUUCGGAAAUACUGGGCGUAAAGCGCACGUAGGCGGGCGCAAGCAAGUCAGGGGGUAGAAAUCCCGGGGCUCAACCCCGGAACUGCCCCUUGAAACUGCAGGUGCUAGAAUCCUGGAGAGGCGAGUGGAAUUCCGGAGUGUAGAGGUGAAAUUCGAUAGAUAUUGGAAGAACACCAGUGGCGAAAGGCGACUCGCUGGACAGGUAGUUGACGCUGAGGUGCGAAAGCGUGGGGAGCAAACAGGG
rnacentral:rRNA from 1 species